AUUUGAUAUUAAAUCUUUUUUGUUUUUGCAAAACAAUGUUUUUAACAUAAACUAAAAUUUA
rnacentral:tRNA from 1 species